rnacentral:rRNA from 1 species
UACGUAGGGGGCAAGCGUUAUCCGGAUUUAUUGGGCGUAAAGAGCUCGUAGGCGGCCGUUCGCGUCGGAUGUGAAAGCUCAGGGCUCAACUCUGAGAUGCCAUUCGAUACGGGACGGCUAGAGGUAGGUAGGGGAGAGUGGAAUUCCUGGUGUAGCGGUGAAAUGCGCAGAUAUCAGGAGGAACACCGGUGGCGAAGGCGGGUCUCUGGGCCGAUACUGACGCUGAGGAGCGAAAGCGUGGGGAGCGAACAGG